rnacentral:pre_miRNA from 1 species
GGGGGGAGGCCAGAUCCUGGCCUGUGUCCCAGCGUCCUGUGCUCCGGGUCCUGCACUGUUGGAUUCACGCUCCUGGUCGUGUAGCCGCCU